GAGCGUGCAUCGCUUCGAAGACCUGUUCCACCGCACCGGUCACUAAAGGUCCGAUCCCGUCGCCGGGGAUAAGGGUUACGGUGCGUGGGGCUCCGUCGCCGGGACGAGGCAUGUAGGUGAUGGAUCGGGUGGGUGCGGUGAAUGGAGAAGAUGGAUUUGUUAGGAGGCGGGUGAGGAUUGAAAUGGAUCGCUUAGCCAUUGGUGGUGGAUUUAGAUGAUUUAGGUUUCAGAGCGACGAUUCGACGUACGUUGAAUGUUUCUUGGUCUCGGCAAUUAAACUUAUUAUAAUAAUCUGUGGGACCCAUUAUAUUUAAAAGUAUGUGCCAAAUUAAUCUUUAGAUAAGGAUUAAUCUUCUACAAAUUCUUCACUGUACGCGGGUCCCAUCACCACGUGGAGACCCGCAAUUGGCUCUUUUUUUUUUUUUUUAAGUAAAAAAAAAAUAAAAGUAAUAAAAUAAUAAGAAAACUUACCUUGGUUAUCGAGAUUGAGAGUUUCAGCAUUGCUGAUGCUCUUAGAGCACCCCCAAUGAACUUAUGGGAGUUUACACAGAUUCUCAAAAAAAAAAAAUAUUAAAAUAAUGUACAGUGAUGAGCUUGCUUCUCCCCAACUCUCUCCAAUGAAUCUGUUUCCGGCGAGUUUAUCACUAUUUUGUGGGCUCCACGACUGGCGGUCCGUGAUUGAUUCGAUUAUUAUUAUUUUUUUAGAAAUUAAACAAAAAAAUUAUAAACUUGAAUUCCAAAAAGGGGUUUACUAACGGGAAUGCUCUUAUAACGUUAUGAUCUCUACACAAUUAUCUCCUUUUGCAUAGUUUAGAUCCCUAUGUGGUCAUGAAACCAGCAAAGUCAAGCUCUCUCUAGAUUAUUAAGAAUCUAACUUUUUAAAAGGUUCUUUCGGUUGAGAUUCUUGUAAUUUUGAGAUACCGUAUCUCAAUUUUAUUUUUAUCAUUUGAAAUAAAUGUUAAAUUAAUUCAAUCAAAAUUUUUUGUUUACAUCAUAGUUGCUUCUGUUUUAAGAAAUCAAAACUACUCACUUUACAUCGCAAUUUUAUUAUCUAAAAGAGAACCAAGUCACUAUGGCCUUCUGAUAGAUUGAAUCCUUCCUUGUUUUCAGACUUGAAAUACGGUUUCCGAUUUGCUUGUCAAUGGUCUUAAUAAGACCAGCAGCUGAAGUAUGAGCUUCACCAAACUUUCUACCAUUCCAUUCCGUCCAAAUCGCAUAUAAGGAAGCUUGAAACAGAUAUCUGAAAAGAAAUAGCCCAACCUUACUUCUAUGGAGAUUGGUAAGAAGCAUCACUAUAUCUGAAAAUAAAUAGCCCAACCUUACUUCUGUGGACAGUAGUUUAUGUAUGAGAUUUUUCCAAACUUCUUCAGAGUAGCUAAAAAAUUCUAACAGUUGUUCCGGGCGUUUAAAGUUUGUAAAAUUACGGGAAAUCCAAUCGAAAAUAUCUAAAAUAUAUAUGUAUUUUGAGAAUCCCCCUUGUGUUUGCUGUUAUGUUUAUCUUGUUGACCAUAUGUCCUUUGUAAACAUUCCCUAAUUGAUCCGUUGUCCGUUGAACAUUGUCUUCUCUGUAGGCUCUCAAUGAUUAGCAAUCUAAUGACACUGAAACGUCACCAUACUCUGCACUUGGCUACUUAAUGUUUUGACAAAUAUUAUUCUUUGGUGUUUUUCCUUUUGAAAGUAAAUGGAGAUUAUCCCCUUGCAUCUUUUCAUGUACAAAGAAAAAGGAACAGAACAAUAUUUGAUGAGAUACCGUUGUCUGAUUUACCAAAACAUAUCAAAAUUCAAAAUCAUGGAAAUAUUGAUGGGUUGAGCCAGAUUCAUCCACAUUGGAGCGAAGGAGCAAUUUUUUUUGUAAAAUAAGUAUCUCUCCAUUUGUACCUAUCUAAUCAGUAAUCAAGAUGGAUAAGUUAGGUUUGUUAGCACAAAAGAUCAAAAGAGUAUCAAUACUUUGAAGGAGAGUUUUUUUUAAGCCUAAAUCCGAACAAGAAAAACUCGUCCAACUCUUGUAUUAAACUUCAAAUAUAAUAUACAAAAAGGCUAAUCCAUUUUCUCUUCACUACAACAUUUUAAAUGUAAAUCAAUUAAACACCAAAACCAUGAAAAGGUAAAAACAGAGCCAUUUCUUGGCCUUUGGUUUAACACCGCCGAGUUUCCAGUUCCACUGUGAAGUUGCUUUGCUAGAGCUCCGACCCGUUUUUUAUCCUCUCCAGCUUUACUAAAUAUGACGGUGAACCCCUCCACUGUCACUCACAUACCACUCUCCGAAGUUAAGGUCUUGCUUCACUAUUUGAUGCCAUUAUCAAUUUUCACCGUCAAGAAAACAUAGCAAAAUGUCUCAAAAUCUUGCUUUGUAAACAAAACGGCUUCUCUUUAUUGAAUUUAUUAUAUAACUAUAAUAAGCUCGUGCUUUAACAAGAGAUCGAACAUUGUCGAAUGAAGUAAAUGCAUGAAUAAAAACAAUCAAGAAAAAACAAAUAGCAAACGCAAAACAGAGAAGCACCAAGCCCAAAGCAAGUAGAAGCUCAGUCAAGAGCUUUUAUGACAGCAUCAACAACUUCCUGAGUAGUGCAAUCUCCACCGAGAUCCUUGGUUCGCCAUUUGCCUUCUUGUAUCACUUGUUUCACUGCGAUUUCAAGACGAUCAGCGAACGUAGGAAACUGGAGAUGUUUAAGCAUCAUAGCCGAUGAGAGAAGCAGAGCCAUUGGAUUAGCUUUCUUCUGCUCCACUAUCUUAUCAUUCCCAACAUUCCCUGCUGAUGCUCCUUGCUCGAAUAUCGCAUGUUCUGCACCAACAUUGCCUGCCAAAAAAAACCCCAAACAUGUAUCAUCUUCUAGAAAGAAAAAAAACAACGAAAAAGUUAUAUAACUUUUAACUAAGACAUGUAUGGACAAACCUCCUGGCAUCACUCCAGUGCCACCAGCUAUUCCAGCAGCAGUGUUUGCAAUAAGAUUACCAUACAAAUUAGGCGUCACCUGAAAACAAACAAGACCGACCAAGCCAAUAGUAAUUACCCAUAUAGAAGAAAGAUAAAGCAGUCACUCUUUUUUUUUUUUUUGCUUAUUCAAGUCGCAUACCAUGACAUCAAACUGCUCAGGCUUAGCCACAAGCUGCAUACAACAAUUGUCUACGAUUAUUUCGUUAUACGUAAUCCCAGGAUAAGCUUUAGCAACCUCUCUGCAAGAUUCAAGGAAGAGCCCAUCCGCUAGCUUCAUAAUGUUGGCUUUAUGAACAGCAGUCACUUUCUUCCUGUUGUUCAGGUACGCAUACUCAAAUGCGUACCUCGCUAUCCUCUCAGAACAAUACUUAGUUAUCACCUACAUAUAAAACAAAAAAAAAAAAAUCAAAACUUCUAAAUUUUUUUAUUAAGCUUCUGAAGAAUUCAAUUUUUUUUAUUAACCCGGACUAUCUGAACCGAGAUCCAACUAAUAUCCAUGAGAAUACCAAUAAAUAGUCCGAAGACUCUAAAACAUGGUCCUAUAUUCGUGUACCAAUCUGUAAUAUCGGACCAUGUUUUAGAGUCUCUGGACAUGACGAAUAUGGAACCAUGUUUUAGAGUCUAAAUAAAAGUAAAAAAUAGUCAGGAGACUCUAAAACAUGGUAAUCAGUCCGGAGACUCUAAAACAUGGUAAAAAUUCAACACAGACUUACUCUUACCCUUAGGCUACUACCGUUUGGUUCAAAAUAAUUCAAUUUGCAAACGAUUCCCAAUAAAAGAUGUGAAACUUUGAUACCUUAAGACUCUCAACAACACCAGGAACAACCUCGUGCUCGAGACCCGCGUACUCUCCUUCCGUGUUCUCCCUAAUCACAACGAUAUCCACGUUCUCGUGCCUCGUCACUAACCCAGGGACGUUGAUGCAGUUGACGAGGGAAGCAAAGAUGUCGAGCUCUUUCCUCAACUGCAUGUUCAAUGAGCUGACACCUCCACCAACAGGAGUCGCUAAGCCGCCUUUCAGACAAACCUUGUUCCUCUUCACGGAUUCCAUCACUUCCUCGGGGACUUUCCUCAUGUGUCCACGAACCUCGUACCUCUCGAAAUGGACUGGAGCGUGCAUCGCUUCGAAGACCUGUUCCACCGCACCGGUCACUAAAGGUCCGAUCCCGUCGCCGGGGAUAAGGGUUACGGUGCGUGGGGCUCCGUCGCCGGGACGAGGCAUGUAGGUGAUGGAUCGGGUGGGUGCGGUGAAUGGAGAAGAUGGAUUUGUUAGGAGGCGGGUGAGGAUUGAAAUGGAUCGCUUAGCCAUUGGUGGUGGAUUUAGAUGAUUUAGGUUUCA
rnacentral:lncRNA from 1 species